rnacentral:rRNA from 1 species
AACGAACGCUGGCGGUGUGCUUAACACAUGCAAGUCGAACGAGAAAGUUUCCUUCGGGGAGCUAGUAAAGUGGCGCAAGGGUGAGUAACACGUGAAUAAUUCUGCCCUCGAGGAAUCGGGAUAACCUGAGGAAACUUAGGCUAAUACCGGGAUAAGACCACAUUUCAUAUGGAAUGUGGGAAAAGGAGUCUCAAUCUUCACUCGAAGGAUGAGUUCGCGGACCAUUAGCUUGUUGGUGAGAUAAAAGCUCACCAAGGCAACGAUGGUUAGCCGGCCUGAGAGGGCGAUCGGCCACACUGGAACUGAGACACGGUCCAGACUCCUACGGGAGGCAGCAGUGGGGGAAUAUUGCGCAAUGGGGCGAAAGCCUGACGCAGCAACACCCGUGUGAGCGAUG